rnacentral:rRNA from 6 species
CAAAACGACUCUCGGCAACGGAUAUCUCGGCUCUCGCAUCGAUGAAGAACGUAGCGAAAUGCGAUACUUGGUGUGAAUUGCAGAAUCCCGCGAAUCAUCGAGUUUUUGAACGCAAGUUGCGCCCAAAGCCAUUUGGCCGAGGGCACGUCUGCCUGGGUGUC